rnacentral:piRNA from 1 species
UCAAUAUAUUGAAGAUUGGGA